UACGUAGGGUGCGAGCGUUGUCCGGAAUUAUUGGGCGUAAAGAGCUUGUAGGCGGUUUGUCGCGUCUGCCGUGAAAAUUCGAGGCUCAACCUCGAACUUGCGGUGGGUACGGGCAGACUAGAGUGUGGUAGGGGAGACUGGAAUUCCUGGUGUAGCGGUGAAAUGCGCAGAUAUCAGGAGGAACACCGAUGGCGAAGGCAGGUCUCUGGGCCACUACUGACUGCGUAAGAGAACGAACAUGGGGAGCGAACAGG
rnacentral:rRNA from 1 species